UGUGAGGCUGCUGAUAGGAAAUGUGAGUUUAGCCAACCGCAGUGCAACAUGACGUGCAGAACUCGCUCACACUGCAUUAACAGCUACUGCAAGCAGCAGAUACCAGACGGAUGUCAUUUUGAAUUCAGCAGAUGAAUGGAUAACAAUGGGUUUAAAUCAAACUGAGGAUACUUCUGAUAGACUCAAUCUAAUCAACUUUUCAUUAUUCGUCGUGUUUUCCAUCUUUUGGAGUUUUGUUUUUUUCCUGGUAUUCAGUGUCUGCUUGUUUUUUUUUAUAUUUGGCAGAACAAAAGGUAAGUUAUAUCUUCCAACAUAACCUUCAUUCGGCUUAAUCAACAUGCAACACUUUAAUAUUAUAAAAUGAAAAAUGGUUCCUAUUUCCAAUUUCACAGGCAAAAAUCACAACCAAAUGGAGAGGAGGUAAAAUAUUUUCCUAUUUAACUACAUUAUAGCUCUAGCAAAUAAAAAAGAACAGCAGUGUGUUGACAAAGAGAAAGACAUGCAGAUAGCUUGAUUAUUGAUUAUUCAUUGGUUAUUGGUUAUGUUUUGAAAGGUCACAGACGCGGAUGUAUCUUUAAAUGAGGUCUCUGAAAAGAUGAAGAAAAGAGAAAAAAAUAAAAGUUACAAAGAGCGGGUAAACUCAGUGUACUAUGAGUGUUUUACAGAUCACCCACCACAGAGGAAACCAUCCACUUCAGAUUGUACAGUAUUGUACAAAUAUAUGGACUAGUCUUAAACAAAGAACUUUAGUCUUGUUUCAGUAAUAAGAAAUGUCUUAAUAACGCAUUAUAGUGAGUUCUAAGUGCAAACACCGUUUGUUUUCAUUGGUCAAGAUAGAGGGCCAUAAGAGGGCGCUGUUGCAAUACAUCACUAAUAAGGUGAGCUUCAUAAAUAACAAAUAUUAAACGAAUAGUU